AUGCAGUGAUCAUGCAGCCUGUGUAAUUCUGGGAGUUGGGGUCUAAAAAUCCAUGAAUUUUCCCUCGUGGAGGGAGAGUAGCCGAACGAGAGGGAGAGACACAUGAAGAAAUACAAUUAACUUUUGAGAGAGAAUGUUAAUCUGUUCAAAAAUCCCGUUGGGGUACGGGGAAUGUUGGCCUCUCUCUGCCUGUCGCUGGUCCAAAAUGCGAAGGAGUUUGCUCCGGCAUCUCUAUAGCAACCGGUUGUCACCGGCAACGGCUUUGAAGCAUCUCUCUUUUUCUGGCAGGACUGGUGGGUGGGCAAGGAAAGACAGAGGGAAAGAGAGGAGGCAGGAGAGAAAAACCAUCCAUAGCCUCCUGGAAUUCCUUCUCCUAAGCUUGGAGGGGAAAGGGUUUGCCUUGCUUAUUUGGAAACCGGUUCCCUCAGGCCAUCACCACUUUCUCCACAUCCGAGCUCAGCCUCGGUAUGCCGCUGGUCCUCAGUGAGGCACAAGAAAGAAGCUUGACGCAAGCAAUCUCUGUGGGCAAAAUCCAUCCACCAGGCCGUUUACAGAUCCAGCCGAAGACUGGUUCUCCAGGCCGCGGGUGGUAUCAAAUGAAGAGGAACCUCCACAGGUUUCUUCAGGAAUCGGAGAACCUUCUGUACAGAUAAAACAGACGGAGGGUGGACCUAUGGCCAGGUCUGGUUCGAGAAGGUGGUCAAGGUGUGGAGAGAACCAUGCUUUUGUGUGCCUACUAAACUA